rnacentral:lncRNA from 1 species
CAGGUUCAAGAGAUUCUUCUGCCUCAGCCUCCCAAGUAGCUGGCACUGCAGACACGCACCACCACACCCAGAAUGGAAUACUAACGUGCUGCCUAGAGAUACAGAAGUGGGAUGAACGCAGGGCCUUACUCAGCAUUCAGAACAAAACUGAUGGUGCUAGCAUAUAUAAGACUGAAACACCAAAGUCCUCCGUGGAAGUUAAUGAAUUUCUGGUUAUGAGUUGGAUUCUUCAGCGGAGUAUUUGAGCCAUGCCUUGAGGCACAUACUUCAAGUUGCUGCAUCCAGUUUUAAACUCCAGAUUGAGCUUUACAUAUUAAAUGUGCACAUUUGUUUUCACAUUUUUGAGCUUUGCCAGUGGCACCCUCUCUAAUUAAUCAUCCCGCGGGCUUAGAAAACUUCUGCCCAAUCCUUUCUGAUUUGUUAAAAGAAAGAGAGAAGGUUUUAGUCUGAAAAAGGCCUUAUCUGAUAAACAUCACAUUAUAUGGAUUUUUACAUUUAAGUACAUUUUCUUUUUAAAUCCGGUGGCUUUCCCAAACUAGAAAGAUGGAGUGUUUGCAUACAUCCACCAACCACCAACAUCAGCAGAAAGAAAGCUUGAUACAGUAAAGGAAAGAAA